GAUGAACGUUGGCGGUGUGCCUAAUACAUGCAAGUCGAACGGAGACUGUAGCAAUACUGUCUUAGUGGCGAACGGGUGAGUAACGCGUUGGUGAUCUGCCUCGAAGUGUGGAAUAACCUCCCGAAAGGGAAGCUAAUACCGCAUAGUCUCUCAAGGUUUAGAAAAUUGAGAGUAAAGGAUUUAUUCGCUUCGAGAGGAGCCUGCGUCCCAUCAGCUAGUUGGUAGGGUAACGGCCUACCAAGGCAAUGACGGGUAGGGGACCUGAGAGGGUGGCCCCCCACAAUGGAACUGAAACACGGUCCAUACACCUACGGGUGGCAGCAGUAGGGAUAUUAGAAAUGGGCGGAAGCCUGAUCUAGCAACACCGCGUGUGCGAUGAAGGCCUUCGGGUCGUAAAGCACUUUUUGGAGGGAAUAGGAAGGAAGGUACCUCCAGAAUAAGUCUCGGCUAACUACGUG
rnacentral:rRNA from 1 species